rnacentral:lncRNA from 1 species
UAAUGUUCAAUUGGGAGGUUCAUCUCUCUGUCAGUUCUAUUCUUCUAGGAGCAAAUAUAACAAGUCUAAGUAGAUGAAGCUAGUAAUCCAAAAUGGAAAACGAGUUAAUAUCAUCUCUUUCAUUGUGUUGCAUAUUUUAUGCAUGUGAACAUUUUUCCUUUCUUUGUCUGUCUGCUUUAUUUAGUCAUCUUAUUGCCUAUUAGACCUCUAUUCAAUUGAUUAUAAUUUGUAAGAAUUAAUUAAGUGCUUGAAGCUAACUGUUGGGUCGUGAUAUUUCUCCUAUUGGGCCGAAUGGAUUGGGCCUACUUAUUCAGUUAGUCCAUUGGGUCUUCACUAUUGGGUGUUGACAUUAUUGGGCCUAGUCACUUUAUUAUCUUUGUUAAGUCCUUCUAGUAUCGGACCAAAUCAGUGGGUCGACCCAUCAUAUAUUUAAAUAUCUUCACUUGGGUUCUGAACCGGUGAUGAUGGCAAAGAUAAUGGCCGACUGAUAUCUUACAUGGCAUUAAUAAGGAUUGGACAGUUGGUCAGCGGUGGACAGAGGGGAUGGGAUUAACAGGUGUCAGGAGGGUCAGUGGCACGGUAAACCAGGUCCUGUAGUAUAUCAUAGCAAGGAAGUCUUCAAGCAAAAGGUACGUUCACAUAUACACACAACUGAGAAUAUUAUUAUCUCUCUCAAUACACUAGACAUUAUUAUCCUCCAUUGUUAACCUUGUGAAUACCGAUACUGAUUCUCACGCCUGAGCUAUCCCCCGACGGUCCAGCCGUCAAGCUUGUGGUGUUUAUCGUGUUUACUGUGCAGGAAUAGGACGUCUUACGUGAUUGGGAUGCGGCAAAAGUUCUUGGCGUUAACAUUGACACUAGAAGGAGGGCUGUUUUCUAGUGUUCUUGAGUUAUCAAUUACAAUAUUUUCAGUUAUUCUACAUCGGAAGUUAUGACACAAAUCAGGGGGUUCUCGUUCGAGAGCCCACGGCGAAGCCCGAAGAUGGUUGGUCUUUGCUGCUGACAAGGAGCAUGAUCAUGACUGAAAGCAAGUAAAAGGCACCCCGCCUAGAACUCGGCACCGAAGUGGUCAGACUGACAUACCGAUCAAGUUAGAAAGAAGUCUACACUUUAAAGACAUGUCUCGAGGCCGUCCUCGGGAUCGAAGCAGACCCAACAGCCAUUUUCCUGAUUGACCGAAGAGGGUAUUCCGCCCUAUUGGUCUUCGGGAUUAUAGUCGAAGCAGAGUAGAUGAAGACCCAACAGCCAUUUUUCUGAUUGACCGAAGAGGGUACUCCGCCCUAUUGGUCUUCGGGAUUAUGGUCAAAGCAGAGUAGAUGAAGACCCAACAAUCAUUUUCCUGAUUAACCGAAUAGGGUACUCCGCCCUAUUGGUCCUCGGGAUUAUGGUCGAAGCAGAGUAGAUGAAGACCCAACAGCCAUUUUUCUGAUUGACCGAAUAGGGUACUCCGCCCUAUUGGUCCUCGGGAUUAUGGUCGAAGCAGAGUAGAUGAAGACCCAACAGCCAUUUUCCUGAUUGAUCGAAGAGGGUAUUCCGUCGUAUUGGUCUUCGAGAUUAUGGUCGAAGCAAAGUAGAUGAAGACCCAACAACCAUUUUUUUGAUUGAUCGAAGAAAGGUAUUCCACCCUAUUGGUUUUCGGGAUUAUGGUCCAAGCAGACCCAGAAGCCGCACUCCUGAGAAUCCACUGAGGGCACACCGCCCUGUGGAUACUUGUCUUCGGGGAAAUCUAUCUAAAGUUGCAGCUUCAGAUGAAAAGCAGCUGAGUCCGACAAAGCCGUUGCAGUACUUCAGCAGAAGCAGAGCUCGUGGACAUUGCAUGCAGAUGGAUAUUCUAUUUCGGACGUCAGUACAGCAGGCUAUCAAGGGGUCGAUCACAAUAACAAUUCCAUUGCUGAUGCAUUAUUGAAGUUGGCUACUACGGAUGCUUAUAACUUUGAUGGCAUAUGACGUCCUUCCUUCAGAUCAGAUGCCGGCUAAAGAAGAUCAAGUAUAAGAGUGUCAAUUUUGUUCUCAUUAAUGAAAAUCUUUUUCGAAGGUCCUUUUUCGUCACCAUUGCUCAAAUAUUUGGUUCCGUCCGAAGCAGAGUAUGUUCUUCGAGAAGUUCACAAAGACAUCUGUGGCGAUCAUUUGGCUGCAAAGUUAUUGGCCUACAAAAUACUUCGGCAGAGAUAUUCUUGAAAGAACUGGAAAUUCAGCACAGAAAGACUUCGGUGGCUCAUCCACGCUCAUUUUUUCACAAUUGAUCUUCCUAUUGGUCCUAAGUUCACAAUGGUGUAAAGAGGUAUGGUCGGACUCGCUGGCCAUUCGAUGGUAGCCCACUUAUUUGUUACCCCGUGUGGUAGACAAAUCCUAUGUUCCUUUAUAUUGCUUUUACCGAGGGCGGUAAAUCAAUAGUCACCGAAGUAAGGAGGACGGGGUGGACUCGUUGACCAUUCGAUGGCAGCCUCUUCGGCAGGAGUGUUCUUAUGGUUUUGUUAUACCCUGCGUGGUAGACAAAUUCCAUGAUCCUCUUAAUUUUGAUUUACCGCGAGUGGUAAACAAAAUGCACUGGAGUAAGGAGGUAUGGUCGGACUCGCUGACCAUUCGAUGACAGCCUUAUUGUCAGGAGUGUCCUUAUGAAUUUGUGACCCCGUGUGGUAGAUAAAUUCCAUGGUCCUUAUAUCUUAGUCCUUAUAUAAUUGUUCUACCCCGAGUGGUAAACAAAGUUCCUUAUAUACUUGUUUUACCCCGAGCGGUAAGCAAGAUCUUGUUGUUGCAAAGAGGAUCAGCCGAAUUUACCUUAUACAUGACCUGUCUCACACUUCGGUAACGAUAAGUAUGCAUUACUUUAUUUUGUUCAAGUGCUGAGUUCAGAUUAUCUCAUUAUUAUUCUUAACUGUUAUAUCAUUUGCUUGAUUAUUGACUAACAGUUUAAGUUAAGAAGCACUUGUAUAGUUUUCAAGUUGAUUGAUGAUCAAUUACUGACAAGAAAUGUUCACCCAGAAGUAAUAAGGCAUGAAGUUGAUAUUUCAUUAAUAUUAACUGUUCACAAGAGUUUAGAAUUUUUACAGAAAGUUCUACAGUUAAAGGUAAAGGGAUGGUCAUCUUCAGGUUUAUUCAUCGUCAUCAUCACCAUCUGAAGAGUCUAGAAGAGAUGGAUCUACCUCGGCCGCGACAAAGCUUUUUCUUGUCUUUACUUCGGCAGAUUUCAUAUCCUUUGGCAUACAUAUGGACGAUCUUAUUGUUCAGCUCGGCGGAUUUUCUGUAUUCUGCCUGGAUCUCCUUACGAAAGUCUUCGGUCAGUGGCGGACCCAAAUCUCUAAGGGCCCGAAGCUCUUUGAGCUCUUCUUCAAGCUUUUGACGAUGUGCUAGAUAUCUUGUUUCUUUAGCAUGGAUAUUGUUAUUUUGCUUCGCCAAGCUCUUAUUGGACUCGGUCAGAUCUUCAUUCUUCUUCGUCAUUGUGAUGACCCGAUGAGUGGCCUUGGUCGUUUUUAGUUCUUCUUUGAUCUUGUCGAUAUCCUUCCGAAGGCAUUCAUUGUUGAAGAGAGCAAUAUCAAGAUUGAUUCUUUCUUUCGCCAACACAGACUUCCGGAUGGCGUUAUCCCUUCGGGCGGUAUUCUCUUCGGCUUUCUCUUCGGCAUUCUCUUCGGUAUCCUUUUCGGCUUCUUUGUAUUUGAGACGGAGGCACACGAAUUAGCGUUUGCCUGCAGAUGACCAUUAUUAGUCAAUCAUUUCAAAUUGAUGGGCAGCGAAGUGAAUGAAUAAAUCAAAACUGUCGAAUUCCUUUAGUCCGGUAUUUCAUUCCUUCGUCCAUCAGGUCCGUGAUGGAAUUAUUGCCGAACCGGAAUUUCAUUCUAUGGCUUGAGCUUCGGUAGUUGAAAGCUCUUCAAUUGGUACUUCUGUAAAGGUCAGCGAAGAUGAACCCUUUAUGUUGCUAUCAGAUGGACUUCGGUAAACCAUAUUUUGGGCCUUUAUUAGUCUUAUUAUAAUUCCUUUUGUCCUGAACCGAUGUCAUUUAUAGUUUUCUAUUAAACCUCUGUUUAAUAAAAAAUUAGGGGGCAAUGUUGGGUCGUGAUAUUUCUCCUAUUGGGCCGAAUGGAUAUUGGGCCUACUUAUUCAGUUAGUCCAUUGGGUCUUCACUAUUGGGUGUUGACAUAUUGGGCCUAGUCACUUUAUUAUCUUUGUUAAGUCCUUCUAGUAUCGGACCAAAUCAGUGGGUCGACCCAUCAUAUAUUUAAAUAUCUUCACUUAGGUUCUGAACCGGUGAUGAUGACAAAGAUAUGGCUGACUGAUAUCUUACAUGGCAUUAAUAAGGAUUGGACAGUUGGCCAACGGUGGACAGAGGGGAUGGGAUUAACAGGUGUCAGGAGGGUCAGUGGCACGGUAAAUCAGGUCCUGUAGUAUAUCAUAGCAAGAAAGUCUUCAAGCAAAAGGUACGUUCACAUAUACACACAACUGAGAAUAUUAUUAUCUCUCUCAAUACACUAGACAUUAUUAUCCUCCAUUGUUAACCUUGUGAACACCAAUACUGAUUCUCACGCCUGAGCUAUCCCCCGAUGGUCCAGCCGUCAAGCUUGUGGUGUUUAUCGUGUUUAUUGUGCAG